UAGGGAAUAUUAGAAAUGGACGAAAGUCUGAUCUAGCAACACCGCGUGUGCGAAGAAGGCCUUUGGGUCGUAAAGCACUUUUUGGAAGGAAUAGGAAGGAAUGUACUUCCAGAAUAAGUCUCGGCUAACUACGUGCCAGCAGCCGCGGUAACACGUAGGAGGCAAACGUUAUCCGGAUUUACUGGGCGUAAAGCGCGUGUAGGUGGUACUGUAAGUAGGGCGUGAAAGCUCCUGGCUCAACUGGGAGAGGCCGUUCUAAACUACAGAACUAGAGGAUGGUAGAGGGAGGUGGAAUUCCAGAUGUAGCGGUGGAAUGCACAGAUAUCUGGAGGAACACCGGUGGCGAAGGCGGCCUCCUGGACCAUUCCUGACACUCAGACGCGAAAGCUAGGGUAGCAAACGG
rnacentral:rRNA from 1 species